rnacentral:misc_RNA from 1 species
UUUUGUUAUCAACCUAAUCUAAGAAAGAAUUCCAAUUGCUUGGGCUAAAGAAGGAACAAAUUGAGUAAUAUUUUACAACUAUUCAAUGGGUAGAAAUGUGUGGACUAUUUGUGUACGAGCUUCUCGAUAAGUAUGAUGUGUUCUAGUGAUGGAUUUAAUGGCCUUUCAUGGUACAAUACUAGUGUUACGUGGAAACGAAUAUAAUGUUUGUCAAGUGUGAAUACUAACUACUUAAAGAUUCAUCAGUUUUAUGACAUGUUUAGAUAGUGAGAUUCGUUAUUGUUUUCACAUUUGAGAAAGCAACUAG